UACAGAGGUCCCGAGCGUUGUUCGGAUUCACUGGGCGUAAAGGGUGCGUAGGUGGUGAGGUAAGUCGGAUGUGAAAUCUCCGGCUCAACCCGGAAAUGGCAUUGGAAACUACCUUGCUGGAGGAUUUGAGGGGGGAUUGGAAUACUUGGUGUAGCAGUGAAAUGCGUAGAUAUCAAGUGGAACACCAGUGGCGAAGGCGAAUCCCUGGAAAAUACCUGACACUGAGGCACGAAAGCUAGGGGAGCAAACAGG
rnacentral:rRNA from 1 species